AAAGCCAAAGCAGGAGAAGAGAAAACCAAACAUGAGAAGUCUGUUAGUGUCACGAGAGCAAUGACUCUCAAUAAUCUGCAGAUGGGAUUUCCGCACGUCUUUCAGGCCAUGGUUGGAUUUUCUAGUGUGUGUAUACAAGCAUUCGAGUCUGUAUACAACCAAGUCAAGAGCAAUGAUCAGGAACAUGAUGUCAAGAGUCUAUUACCUUGAAGAAAGGCUUACAAUUAGGCAAACAUAAAUGGCAUAAGUUUGUUUCCAUGUAUAUAUGGUACCUGGAUGAGUUUUGCAAGGCUCAACUCCAUUGCAGACAAGCUUGUGAUUUUUGGUUUUCUCAGAGAGUGAUUAUGGUGAAUCUAUGUGCAUUUUGAGACAGAAUAUCAGGUAACAUAGCAGGCUGGAGACGAGAUUCGGUGUCCA
rnacentral:lncRNA from 1 species